UGNGUAUACAGGAAAGUGCCUCCCACCAG
rnacentral:piRNA from 1 species